rnacentral:rRNA from 1 species
UACGAAGGGGGCUAGCGUUGCUCGGAAUCACUGGGCGUAAAGGGUGCGUAGGCGGGUCUUUAAGUCAGAGGUGAAAUCCUGGAGCUCAACUCCAGAACUGCCUUUGAUACUGCAAGUCUCGAGUCCGAUAGAGGUGAGUGGAAUUCCUAGUGUAGAGGUGAAAUUCGUAGAUAUUAGGAAGAACACCAGUGGCGAAGGCGGCUCACUGGAUCGGUACUGACGCUGAGGUGCGAAAGCGUGGGGAGCAAACAGG